CUUACUUACUUACUUACUUACUUACUUACUUACAGAUUCAUAUUCUCCCCAUAUUGGUAAAAACACAAUUUUUGCUAUAGUAAAGCAUCAUGGAUCUCACAGUAUUUAUUUUGUCCACCUUAGGACUUCCAGCUGGAUGCUGCUGCUGUAUACAACAAAGUGGCUAGGCAACUGGUGAAGCAGCAGAGCUACAGUGAGAUCAGGCAGCUCAUUAAAUGUAUCAAGGAGUCUGGUGCGGCAGAUAAAAAUGACGGGGACAAUGUCAUCCUCAGUUGUUUGGACGAGUUUGAUUCUAUCCCUGCUGAGGAGUUGGAUAAUCUGAUCCAGGAUAUGGACAGUGAUGAAAACAAGAUUCAAGCAUACUUGAAAUGCCAUAAACUACGCUCUGCCUAUCUUGUCUCAGUAAAACAAGACAAUGCAAGAGCUGUGCAGCUGGUCCAACAUGUACGGCAACUGGCAGAGGAUGGUGGGGAUGAUGUAGUGCAGGCCAUCUGCAUCCAGUGGCUUUCGGUGCAUCAUACUAAGCCAAGAAGCUGGCUUAGCCAAAAUCCCAUGAAAUGACUCCCAGAAAGUUGUUGGGAUGUUGUUCCUAUAAAGGGAAAACUUUAC